rnacentral:lncRNA from 1 species
CCAAAUCCAAAAGCCCUAAAUCAAACGCGUAUUAUUCUUCUUCUCCGAAGAACACGCGAACGAAGCCUCAAAUUUAGUCCAAAUCCAAAGUGAUUGAGCCUCAAAUCUACCCUCACACAUUCCGUCUUCUCUCCUCAUCACCAUUUCUAACGGUUUCUGAUGCCAAUAUUCCCCUCUCCUCUUACUCGCUCGAAAUUGCGUUUUAUCUCACAAUUGGAAGCUUCUGGGAACGAUUUGCUGGAUGAGUGUGAGGCGUUGGAUUGAUUUCACCCAAUGCAAGCCCCACAUUCAUUAGGAAUUCGUUUUUAAAAAAGAGCUCGAUCUGAUUUUGAAAGGGGGACUCGAAAACAAUUUGGAAAAAGGGGGUUGAAAGGUUUCUAAAAUAAAAACUUCUGGUUUUCAGAUUCUAUUGUUCUUCUUUGAAGAGUUCUUUCAAGGUUUAAGGGGAACAUAUAUACAAUUUUUUUUUUGAAUCCGCUUUUUUUAAUGCCUAAGAGACGGAAAUGAAUGAAGGUCGUUCAACUGGUGGUGAGAUUUAAAUUCAUCGAUUUCGAUUUUCUAUUGUCGUCUGGCAGUUGUUGCUGAACCUCGUUAGAUUUGGAGUCGAAAGUUGUGUUGUUGAGUCUGUAGUUAUAAUAGAAAGUUUGAAAUAUCAUGUAAAAUUUCUUUUCUCUACAACAUUUCUGUAUUAAAGUGGUUUGAACUGUGAGAUUUUGCUCAAUGGUAUUUUGUUCCGUGAUUGAAUUUUUGUUGAUGAAUUUCUUCUCAAUGGUGUGAUGUGCUUGAGUAUAUCCAGCCAGUAGAAGCUGAGUCUAUAAGGUCGUCCUCUAUGCUCUAUGCUUUCUAUGCUUUAAUUGUUAUUUUGGUGUCAAGCUGUCAUUAUGGAGUCAAGAUGUCAUCAUUUUCAAAUAAAUGAUGAGUUCAGCUUUGAAAAUCGCAAGCGAGCAUGAAACUAUGAGGGUACUUCUCAUUAUGUGUGUUUUCCGGACUCUAAAUGAUCUGCUCCCAUGAGAUCAGUGUGUUUAUCAGAACCUUUUCUUUAGCCUAGAAUUCAAAUAAUUGUUUAAUUUCCUUUUUCCCAUUUUUUUUACUAUUUGCCCUGUUCUUGUUUGUCUGGAGCUGCUGAAGCUCUCCACAACAGUAUGCGAUCCUUAUGGCUUAUCAUUUGAGAUGACCAAUGAGGUUCCUGUUUCCAGUAGUCAUUUCUGCUUGUUGAACCUCUUAAAAUAGAAUUUAACAUGUAACUUGUUAGUGUGUGUUUUGUUUCCUUUGAAAGCAACCGAUGUC